AUCCCAUGGUGUAGACAGGCAACAACAUACACUUGCAUUCUCUCCCAAGCAUCGGGAAUGGAUUCCUCAGCUUGUUGUGUAAAAUUGGAGAUUUUAUUGUGAAGAGC
rnacentral:snoRNA from 1 species